ensembl:snRNA U4 U4 spliceosomal RNA
AGCUUUGUACAGCGGCUACAAUACUUCAUAGCCAGUCAGGGUUAUGAGAUGUGAUGACUGCUAAUGGAAAACUUUUCCUGAUACCCAGCCAUGCUGACUUGCAAUAUAGUCAGCACUGGUCAUUUUUGACAGUCUCUAUGGAGA